rnacentral:rRNA from 1 species
GACGAACGCUGGCGGCGUGCCUAACACAUGCAAGUUGAGCGACGAACCAGGGCUUGCCCUGGGGCAAAGCAGCGAACGGGUGAGUAACACGUGGGUAACCUACCCCGAUAACUGGGACAACCCGAGGAAACUCGGGCUAAUACCGGAUGUGCUCACUGGACUUCGGUUCAGUGCGUAAAGGAAGCUUCGGCCUCCGUAUCGGGAGGGGCCCGCGGCCCAUUGGUUUGUUGGUGAGGUAACGGCUCACCAAGACCGCGAUGGGUAGCUGGUCUGAGAGGACGAUCAGCCACACUGGGACUGAGACACGGCCCAGACUCCUACGGGAGGCAGCAGUGGGGAAUCUUGCGCAAUGCGCGAAAGCGUGACGCAGCAACGCCGCGUGGGGGAAGAAGGCCUUCGGGUUGUAAACCCCUUUCAGGAGGGACGAAGGUUCGGCGGUGAAUAGCCGUCCGGACUGACGGUACCUCCACAAGAAGCCCCGGCUAACUACGUG